CCGCGUGAGGGAUGACGGCCUUCGGGUUGUAAACCUCUUUCAGUAUCGACGAAGCGCAAGUGACGGUAGGUACAGAAGAAGGACCGGCCAACUACGUGCCAGCAGCCGCGGUAAUACGUAGGGUCCGAGCGUUGUCCGGAAUUACUGGGCGUAAAGAGCUCGUAGGUGGUUUGUCGCGUUGUUCGUGAAAACUCACAGCUCAACUGUGGGCGUGCGGGCGAUACGGGCAGACUGGAGUACUGCAGGGGAGACUGGAAUUCCUGGUGUAGCGGUGGAAUGCGCAGAUAUCAGGAGGAACACCGGUGGCGAAGGCGGGUCUCUGGGCAGUAACUGACGCUGAGGAGCGAAAGCGUGGGGAGCGAACAGGAUUAGAUACCCCUGGUA
rnacentral:rRNA from 1 species